rnacentral:rRNA from 1 species
UACGUAGGGUGCGAGCGUUGUCCGGAAUUAUUGGGCGUAAAGAGCUUGUAGGCGGUUUUGUCGCGUCUGCUGUGAAAAUCCGGGGCUCAACCCCGGACUUGCAGUGGGUACGGGCAGACUAGAGUGUGGUAGGGGGAGACUGGAAUUCCUGGUGUAGCGGUGGAAUGCGCAGAUAUCAGGAGGAACACCGAUGGCGAAGGCAGGUCUCUGGGCCACUACUGACGCUGAGAAGCGAAAGCAUGGGGAGCGAACAGG